rnacentral:tRNA from 1 species
AAACCUCAGUCCCCUUAAAACUUUUAAAGGAUAACAGCUAAUCCACUGGUCUUAGGAACCACCCAUCU